rnacentral:rRNA from 1 species
GACGAACGCUGGCGGCGUGCCUAAUACAUGCAAGUAGAACGCACAGUUUAUACCGUAACUUGCUGCACCAUAGACUGUGAGUUGCGAACGGGUGAGUAACGCGUAGGUAACCUGCCUGGUAGCGGGGGAUAACUAUUGGAAACGAUAGCUAAUACCGCAUAAUAUUGAUUAUUGCAUGAUAAUUGAUUGAAAGAUGCUAUUGCAUCACUACCAGAUGGACCUGCGUUGUAUUAGCUAGUAGGUGAGGUAACGGCUCACCUAGGCGACGAUACAUAGCCGACCUGAGAGGGUGAUCGGCCACACUGGGACUGAGACACGGCCCAGACUCCUACGGGAGGCAGCAGUAGGGAAUCUUCGGCAAUGGACGAAAGUCUGACCGAGCAACGCCGCGUGAGUGAAGAAGGUUUUCGGAUCGUAAAGCUCUGUUGUAAGAGAAGAACGGGUGUGAGAGUGGAAAGUUCACACUGUGACGGUAUCUUACCAGAAAGGGACGGCUAACUACGUG